rnacentral:rRNA from 1 species
CGUCUAGGUGGUAUGGUUAGUUGUAGGUGAAAGCCCCAGGCUCAACCUGGGAAGUGCUUACAAUACUGCCGUACUUGAGGCUGGGAGAGGAGAGCGGAAUUCCUAGUGUAGCGGUGAAAUGCGUAGAUAUUAGGAGGAACACCAGUGGCGAAGGCGGCUCUCUGGACCAGUACUGACACUAAAGCGCGAAAGCUAGGGGAGCAAACG